rnacentral:lncRNA from 1 species
CAGCAACUUUAGCCGACGAUAUUUAAAGGUUUAUUCGUCGGCUAUAGUAUUUUUAAAUUUUUUAUAAGGUUUAGCCGAUGAAUUAUGGCAUAUUUCAUCGGCUAUAGUUAUUUUUAAAUUUUUUAUAAGGUUUAGCCGACGAAACAGACUAUAUUUCGUCGGCUAUAGUUAUUUUUUAAAUUUUUAUAAGGUUUAGCCGACGAAACAGACUAUAUUUCGUCGGCUAUAGUUAUUUUUUAAAAUUUUUUAUAAGGUUUAGCCGACGAAACAUACUAUAUUUCGUCGGCUAUAGUCUGGGAAAAAUUUUUUUAUUACAGACUUUAGCCGACGAAUAUCUUAAUUGUUUCGUCGGCUAAAGUCUGGGAAAAAAACCGACGACAUGUUUUUCUUCGGCUAAACUGCGGGACUAUAGCCGACGAAAUUUUUUUUUUCGUCGGCUAAAGUCAUCACAAACGACCUUUUCCUGACGAAAUCUUAGCCGACGAGCCACUUAGCCGACGAAUUAAGCUAACAGGCCAACGAAAAUUUUUCAUCGGCUAAAGUGCUUGUCCUGGUAGUGUGGGUCUAGGGUUUAGGGUUUAAAAAGCAACAACAAACCCAAAAUUGUCUUUAACAAAAUAGUUGAUGUAAUUUUUCCUUAGUAAAAUCUAAGUGUCAAUAUUUGAUUGGAAUAUAAGACUACGUCAUACUGCCACGUGGUCCUUCAUAGCGCUGAAAUUUUUU